rnacentral:lncRNA from 1 species
GUACAUAAGCAAUAAGAGCUUUUGUCUUCAUGUCUAGCGUAAGUUUUAAAAGUCCCACGAACUUAUUACUCAACCAUUCAAUUUUAGCCUGUAUGUUUCUGGCAAUCCUAUGAUAGGUGUGUUCAUUCUUGAAGGUUACAACCUGCCAAGAAGUCUUCUGGUUUGACUUACUAGCCGUUAGCCUAAAUGGACACCCUGGGUCACAUCUUACAACAACUAUUUUCUUGUCAUUUUGCUUAAUCUUCAAAUUUUUCUUCUGCAUCAUUGCAAAGGAUUUUACUGCAUAA